rnacentral:rRNA from 1 species
AUUGAACGCUGGCGGCAGGCCUAACACAUGCAAGUCGAGCGAGCGGCGGACGGGCGAGCAAUGUAUGGGGACUGCCCGAUAGAGGGGGAUAACUACUGGAAACGGUGGCCAAUACCGCAUACUAGCGGAUAACCCAUAUGGGAUUAGCGAGUGGGUGGGGUAAAGGCUAACCUAGGCGACGAUCUCUAGCGGGUCCGAGAGGAUGAUCAGCCACACUGGGACUGAGACACGGCCCAGACUCCUACGGAGGCAGCAGUGGGGAAUAUUGCACAAUGGGCGCAAGCCUGAUGCAGCCAUGCCGCGUGUAUGAAGAAGGCCUUAGGGUUGUAAAGUACUUUCAGCGGGGAGGCGUUACCCGAAGAGAAAGCACCGGCUAACUACGUGCCAGCAGCCGCGGUAAUUC